UGUGAAGAAUGCUGGAGCUCCAUGCAGGA
rnacentral:piRNA from 1 species